GUGAGGACUCGGGAGGUGGAGGGUGGCGUGGCCAGGGCCAGGGCACUGUCUCAGCUCGUUUCUCCCCCCACCUCCUCUCUCCUCAG
ensembl:miRNA microRNA 1224